GUCGUCACCAUCGGCUUAACAUCCUCCUCCUCCCAGCCGAUGCCCAUUUUUUCAGAGAUCGGUUUUUAGUUCAAUGUACACAAUCAUGAACGACACCCAGAAGCAGCGUGCGGUGCAAUACCUAGCCGACGUUUCAGUUCAGUAUCCGGAAUCAUGAACGAUUCACAAAAACAACGAGCGGUUCAAUACCUCGCCGACGGAUACAAAGGCUUAGGAUCGGGCAUUACAAUCGAGAUGGAGAUGUUGGGGACGAGUUUCCUCGUCGUUGGCCAGUCGCCGCCGGGGGAGGAGCUACCGGCGUUAGUGACCGUGGACUGGGAGGUCCACUC